rnacentral:rRNA from 1 species
UACGUAGGGGGCAAGCGUUGUCCGGAAUCAUUGGGCGUAAAGAGCGUGUAGGCGGCCCGGUAAGUCCGCCGUGAAAGUCCAGGGCUCAACCCUGGAAUGCCGGUGGAUACUGUCGGGCUAGAGUCCGGAAGGGGCGAGUGGAAUUCCUGGUGUAGCGGUGAGAUGCGCAGAUAUCAGGAGGAACACCAAUUGCGAAGGCAGCUCGCUGGGACGUAACUGACGCUGAGACGCGAAAGCGUGGGGAGCAAACAGG